CCUACGGGAGGCAGCAGUAGGGAAUAUUGCUCAAUGGGGAAAACCCUGAAGCAGCAACGCCGCGUGGAGGAUGAAGGUUUUCGGAUUGUAAACUCCUUUUGUUAGAGAAGAUAAUGACGGUAUCUAACGAAUAAGCACCGGCUAACUCCGUGCCAGCAGCCGCGGUAAUACGGAGGGUGCAAGCGUUACUCGGAAUCACUGGGCGUAAAGAGCGCGUAGGCGGGAUAGCAAGUCAGAUGUGAAAUCCUAGGGCUUAACCAUAGGACUGCAUUUGAAACUGUUAGUCUAGAGUAUGGGAGAGGUAGGUGGAAGUCCUGGUGUAGGGGUGAAAUGCGUAGAGAGUAAGAGGAAUACCGAUUGCGAAGGCGACCUACUAGAACAUAACUGACGCUGAGGCGCGAAAGCGUGGGGAGCAAACAGGAUUAGAUACCCCAGUAGUC
rnacentral:rRNA from 1 species